CUGCAGCCAAUUGAGCUGAUGGAGUUCCUUUCCUCAUGAGGCCCAGCGUGCAAUAGCUGCAAAUGGCAGCUUCCUUGGUAGUGUAUGCAGCCUGUUUCUUAUAUGGGUUGCUCUAAGGGACCUCAGAGACACGGCUUUC
rnacentral:snoRNA from 1 species